rnacentral:lncRNA from 1 species
ACCCAGGGGCAUGGGGACACCCAGGUGGCACCCAAGGGUGCGGGGACACCAGCCCACGUGGCACCCAGGGGCAUGGGGACACCCAGGUGGCACCCAGGGGCGUGGGGACACCCGGGUGGCACCCGAGGGUGCUGGGGGGACCCCCCUGCGCACAGGGCCGGGUGCCUGUGCAGGGGCACCCAUGUCCUGGUGGCGCUUGGGUGCCACCCCAGCCCUGUCCCUGUCCCCAUCAGUGGCAGGGGCCACCCUGUUGCCAUCCCCAAUGGGUGUCAGGUGCCACCCUGUCCCUGUCCCUAGUGGGCAAAAGGGGCCACCCUGUCCCCAUCCCUGUCCCCAACGGUGGUGAGGGCCACCCCAUCCCUGUCCCUGUUGGUGGCAGGAUCCACCAUGUCCCUGUCCCCAUCCCUGUCCCCAUCCCUGGUGAAGGCCACCUCAUCCAUGUCCCCGUUGGUGGCCAGAUCCACCAUGUCCCUGUCCCCAUCCCUGUCUCCAUCGGUGGCAAGGGCCACCUCGUCCAUGUCCCCGUUGAUGGCCGGAUCCACCAUGUCCCUGUCCCCAUCCCUGUCCCCAUCGGUGGUGAGGGCCACACCAUCCCUGUCCCCAUUGGUGGCCAGACCCACCAUGCCCCUGUCCCCAUCCCUGUCCCCAUCGGUGGUGAAGGCCACCCUGUCCCCAUCCCUGUCCCCAUCGGUGGUGGGGGCCACCCCAUCCCUGUCCCCGUUGGUGGCCGGACCCACCAUGUCCCUGUCCCCACUGGUGGUGGUGGCCACCCCAUCCCUGUCCCCAUUGGUGGCCGGAUCCAUGUCUCUGUCCCCAUCGGUGGCAAGGGCCCCCCUGUCCCCAUCCCCGGGGCCCCCACGGCGGCGGCGGAGGCGGUGGCAGCGGUGGCGGUGGCAGCGGUGACGGUGGCAGCGGUGACGGUGACUCACCUCGACCAUGGCGGGGUUGUCGGCCCGGAGGGCGUCGAGGCGGACGAGCAGCUCCUGGGCCAGCACCGCGUUGUCCUCGGGGCCCCUGGGGACACCGGCGGGGACACCGGUGGGCCGUGGGGACACGGGGCCGCGCAACGGGCGCCCGCCCCCCCCGGGGGACACGGCAGGGGACGGGGACGUGGGGACACGGCGCGGGGACCAAACAGGCUGCCCCAGCGAGCAGGGUGCCCCCGACGCUGGUGGCACCCGUGUCCCCGGGUGCCCGUGGUCCCCGUGUCACCCGUGUCCCUU